UGGAUAAAUUCCUGGACGCAUACACCCUCCCAAGACUAAACCAGGAAGAAGUUGAAUCCCUGAAUAGACCAAUAACAGGCUCUGAAAUUAAGGCAAUAAUUAGUAGCCUACCAAGCAAAAAAAGUCCAGGACCAGAUGGAUUCACAGCUGAAUUCUACGAGAGGUACAUGGAGGAGCUGGUACCAUUCCUUCUGAAACUGUUCCAAUGAACAGAAAAAGAGGGAAUCCUCCCUAGCUCAUUUUAUGAGGCCAGCAUCAUCCUG
rnacentral:lncRNA from 10 species